ensembl:misc_RNA 7SK 7SK RNA
GUAUGAAUAUGUAGGUGGUCCCCCCAUUGACCGCCAGGGUUGCUUUGGCUUAUCUGCCUGGCUAGGUGUGCAUCCCCUUCCUCCCUCCCAGUUCCAUGUGCCUGCCUCCAGAAGCUAUGCCCUCGGUCAAAGAGGACGACCUUCCCUAAUAGAGGAGGACCGUUCUUCAGUCAAAGGUACACGAGUAGCUGCACUCUCCUGCUAGAACCUCCAAACAAGCUUUCAGUGAAUUCUCUCAGGCCCAGUACAGGCAAACACCAAAGCCUGUGACCUCUUGGAGUGGUAGACUAGAACACCCUCA